AGUGAACGCUGGCGGUAGGCCUAACACAUGCAAGUCGAACGGCAGCACAGUAAGAGCUUGCUCUUACGGGUGGCGAGUGGCGGACGGGUGAGGAAUACAUCGGAAUCUACUUUUUCGUGGGGGAUAACGUAGGGAAACUUACGCUAAUACCGCAUACGACCUACGGGUGAAGGCAGGGGAUCUUCGGACCUUGCGCGAUUGAAUGAGCCGAUGUCGGAUUAGCUAGUUGGCGGGGUAAAGGCCCACCAAGGCGACGAUCCGUAGCUGGUCUGAGAGGAUGAUCAGCCACAGUGGAACUGAGACACGGUCCAGACUCCUACGGGAGGCAGCAGUGGGGACUAUUGGACAAUGGGGGCAAGCCUGAUCCAGCCAUACCGCGUGGGUGAAGAAGGCCUUCGGGUUGUAAAGCCCUUUUGUUGGUAAAGAAAAGCAGCAGGUUAAUACCCCGCUGUUCUGACGGUACCCAAAGAAUAAGCACCGGCUAACUUCGUG
rnacentral:rRNA from 1 species